CACCAAGAAAUUAAGUCAUAUUGGUAAAAAGAUAGUUUGAUUUAAUGUUUUAUAUAGAAGUAAAAUUCAGGUAUAAUAAUAUAAUUUGUUAGCUGCUCAUAAUUGAAUCUAUGAAAUCCUUAAGGGAAACUAGGAUUAGGUACCCUAUUAUUUUUGGAUAUAAAAUGACCAGAGUACUAUGAAUUAUCAAAAAUUUAAAACUCAAAGGACUUGGCGGUGUUUUAGACCAUUCAGGGGAACCUGUCUCAUAAUCGAUAAUCCGCGUUGUACCUGACCUUUUUUUGUGUUUUCAGUUUGUAUACCGUUGUCGGCAGGUAACUUUUUAGAAAUUAGAAGUUAGCAUUAGGAAGAUAGCUUAGUACGUCAAAUCAAGGUGCAGCUAAUAGAAAGGGGAGGAUGGGUUACAGUUAUAAGUUAUAAACGGAAGGUGGACUUGAAAGUAAAUUAGAUAUAAAUAAUUUGAAUAAGGCUCUGAAACGUGU
rnacentral:rRNA from 1 species